rnacentral:sRNA from 1 species
CCAUACUAAGCUCCGUCCAUCCAGAAAAAGCAAAAGCGACUCCAGAGCAGCCGCAAAAAAGACCAAAGCCUCACAUCCCCAAACACAAAAAAUUUAGCUCAAACACAUGAACAUCGGGGAGCUAGCCUCACCGGGGUCGCACUGCCGGUAGAACUUCUCCACAUCUGCACAACCACACAAAAAAAAGAACAGCAAAUCCAUCAAAUCAAUCAAUCAAUCAAUCAGCAAAGAGCAUCCCAAACAACACCGAAGAGAGCUACCCACCGGUGGUGAGCGCCUUGACGAUGCCCGCGCGGCGCGCGCGGAAGUCGCGGAAGACGUCCUCCGCGGACCGCGCGUUGUGGUGCACCGCCGCCCCCGCCGCGUUCCCGGCGGCGGC